UAGUUGGUGGGGUAAAGGCCUACCAAGGCGACGAUCAGUAGCGGGUCUGAGAGGAUGAUCCGCCACACUGGAACUGAGACACGGUCCAGACUCCUACGGGAGGCAGCAGUGGGGAAUUUUGGACAAUGGGGGCAACCCUGAUCCAGCCAUUCCGCGUGAGUGAAGAAGGCCUUCGGGUUGUAAAGCUCUUUCAGCUGGAACGAAACGGUACGCUCUAAUAUAGCGUGCUAAUGACGGUACCAGCAGAAGAAGCACCGGCUAACUACGUGCCAGCAGCCGCGGUAAUACGUAGGGUGCGAGCGUUAAUCGGAAUUACUGGGCGUAAAGCGUGCGCAGGCGGAUUGUUAAGCAAGACGUGAAAUCCCCGGGCUUAACCUGGGAAUGGCGUUUUGAACUGGCAGUCUAGAGUGUGUCAGAGGGGGGUAGAAUUCCACGUGUAGCAGUGAAAUGCGUAGAGAUGUGGAGGAAUACCAAUGGCGAAGGCAGCCCCCUGGGAUAACACUGACGCUCAUGUACGAAAGCGUGGGUAGCAAACAGGAUUAGAUACCCUGGUAAUCCACGCCCUAAACGAUGUCAACUGGUUGUUGGGGGAGUGAAAUCCCUUAGUAACGAAGCUAACGCGUGAAGUUGACCGCCUGGGGAGUACGGUCGCAAGAUUAAAACUCAAAGGAAUUGACGGGGACCCGCACAAGCGGUGGAUGAUGUGGAUUAAUUCGAUGCAACGCGAAAAACCUUACCUACCCUUGACAUGUCCAGAAUCCUGCAGAGAUGCGGGAGUGCCCGAAAGGGAAUUGGAACACAGGUGCUGCAUGGCUGUCGUCAGCUCGUGUCGUGAGAUGUUGGGUUAAGUCCCGCAACGAGCGCAACCCUUAUCAUUAGUUGCUACGCAAGGGCACUCUAAUGAGACUGCCGG
rnacentral:rRNA from 1 species